GACAAUUCUUUACGCGAGUACGCGACUUGCGAGCACCCGAGAUUAUAGGAAUCUCAGAAACGGCUAAAUUGAUCGAGUUCUAAAUUGAUGAACUCAUUGCAAGUCGUUGAGGAGAGAUACGAAGUUUUUCCACUACCAGGAUUCCCACACUGUGCUACGUGCGUCGACAAGAACGGGUCAAACUCGGCGAUUGUUUUCAAGAUCAUGAUAAAAUUACUGUUUUUCAAAGAACCGAAACGUUCAAACGAUCCUCGGAAUGAAAGGCCGCGACUAGCAAGGGCAUUUAUAUACGGCAACAAUCACUAUUUUUAACACAUUUCUCCAAUAAUCGAUUUCGUUCUUAAUUUGUCUACAAAGAUCGGAGUCAACUCUUCCUUCCGUGCGACUUAUUAGCGAUUAUGAUUAUGAUUAUGAUUACAACCAUGCUUUAUAAAACAAAUACUGCAAACAGCUUUCCUAGAUAUCAUAAUUUCAUAAAGAUAUAUAUAAAGAUAUAUUAUAAUAUAUGUGUUUGCAAUUCUUAUUUUAUGAACAAAAAAGCCGUAAAAUAUGACAUGGCAGUUUGCAUUACCUUAAAAUUGUAUAUCAAUGCAUUACAAAAUAUAAAAGUUACGUAAAAUUAUAAAAGUUCUCUUUAAGUAAAUGAGAGAUUCAAAGUAUGAGUAUCGCGAUUUACUAGUAGGUCGAUUAGUGGAUCAAAAAUUUUUUCAGUUAUGAUAGAUAUCAAAAUCAAAUGUCGAAAUAAAUUAUAAUUAUAAUAUUAUACAUAAAAAUAAUUUGCUUUAAUGUAAUUAUUAAUAAAUGACAAUAAGUGCAUUUUUCACACUUUGACAUACCUCGUGUAUUUUGAGAGAAAUUCAUUUAUAAAAUUAAAUUUAAUAAAAAAUUAAGAAACAGGAA